CCUACGGGAGGCAGCAGUGAGGAAUAUUGGUCAAUGGGCGUAAGCCUGAACCAGCCAAGUCGCGUGAGGGAUGAAGGUUCUAUGGAUCGUAAACCUCUUUUAUAAGGGAAUAAAGUGUGGGACGUGUCCUAUUUUGUAUGUACCUUAUGAAUAAGGAUAGGCUAACUCGGUGCCAGCAGCCGCGGUAAUACGGAGGAUCCGAGCGUUAUCCGGAUUUAUUGGGUUUAAAGGGUGCGUAGGCGGCCUUGUAAGUCAGCGGUGAAAGUCUGUGGCUCAACCAGAGAAGUGAGGUUGAAACGGGGGGGCUUGAGUAUGUUUGAGGCAGGCGGAAUGCGUGGUGUAGCGGUGAAAUGCUUAGAUAUCACGCAGAACCCCGAUUGCGAAGGCAGCCUGCCAAGCCAUGACUGACGCUGAUGCACGAAAGCGUGGGGAUCAAACAGGAUUAGAUACCCUUGUAGUC
rnacentral:rRNA from 1 species